GCUGGCGGCGUGCCUACACAUGCAAGUCGAACGGAGUUCACUCGCUGAUGAAGCUUCGGCAGAAUCUUGAGUAAACUUAGUGGCGGACGGGUGAGUAACGCGUGGGCAACCUGCCUCAUACUGGGGGAUAGCAGUUGGAAACGACUGAUAAUACCGCAUAAGCGCACGGUAUCGCAUGAUACAGUGUGAAAAACUCCGGUGGUAUGAGAUGGGCCCGCGUCAGAUUAGCUAGUUGGUAAGGUAACGGCUUACCAAGGCGACGAUCUGUAGCCGGACUGAGAGGUCGGACGGCCACAUUGGGACUGAGACACGGCCCAAACUCCUACGGGAGGCAGCUGUGGGGGAUAUUGCACAAUGGAGGAAACUCUGAUGCAGCGACGCCGCGUGAGUGAAGAAGUAUUUCGGUAUGUAAAGCUCUAUCAGCAGGGAAGAAAGGCUCGUAAGAGAGAUGACGGUACCUGACUAAGAAGCCCCGGCUAACUACGUGCCAGCAGCCGCGGUAAU
rnacentral:rRNA from 1 species